GACGAACGUUGGCGGCGUGCUUAAUACAUGCAAGUCAACUGAAGCACCGGUAGUAAUACUGGUGUGGAGGUGGCGCACGGGUGAGUAACACGUAGGUAAUCUGCCUUCAGGCCUGACAUAACCCCGAGAAAUCGGGCUAAUAGCAGAUGAUGCAGCGGCUUGACAUCAAGACAGUUGUUAAAAGCUUCGGCGCCUGAAGAUGAGCCUGCGUCUGAUUAGCUAGUUGGCGGAGUAAUAGCCCACCAAGGCGACGAUCAGUAGCUGGGUCUGAGAGGAUGAUCAGCCACACUGGAACUGAGACACGGUCCAGACUCCUACGGGAGCAGCAGUAAGGAAUAUUGCUCAAUGGAGAAAUCCUGAAGCAGCAACGCCGCGUGAGGGAUGAAGG
rnacentral:rRNA from 1 species